rnacentral:rRNA from 1 species
UACGGGGGGGGCAAGCGUUGUUCGGAAUUACUGGGCGUAAAGGGCUCGUAGGUGGCCAACUAAGUCAGACGUGAAAUCCCCAGGCUCAACUUGGGAACUGCGUCUGAUACUGGAUGGCUUGAAUUCGGGAGAGGGAUGCAGAAUUCCAGGUGUAGCGGUGAAAUGCGUAGAUAUCUGGAGGAAUACCGGUGGCGAAGGCGGCAUCCUGGACUGGUCCUGACACUCAGGAGCGAAAGCGUGGGGAGCGAACAGG